UGAGGAAUAUUGGUCAAUGGGCGAGAGCCUGAACCAGCCAAGUAGCGUGCAGGAUGACGGCCCUAUGGGUUGUGAACUGCUUUUAUAUGGGAAUAAAGUGAGGGACGUGUCCCUUAUUGCAUGUACCAUAUGAAUAAGGACCGGCUAAUUCCGUGCCAGCAGCCGCGGUAAUACGGAAGGUCCAGGCGUUAUCCGGAUUUAUUGGGUUUAAAGGGAGCGUAGGCUGUUUGUUAAGCGUGUUGUGAAAUGUAAGAGCUCAACUUUUAGAUUGCAGCGCGAACUGGCAGACUUGAGUGCGCACAACGUAGGCGGAAUUCAUGGUGUAGCGGUGAAAUGCUUAGAUAUCAUGAAGAACUCCGAUUGCGAAGGCAGCUUACGGGAGCGCAACUGACGCUGAAGCUCGAAGGUGCGGGUAUCGAACAGG
rnacentral:rRNA from 1 species